rnacentral:tRNA from 1 species
GCGAGGUAGCUCAGUUGGCUAGAGCACUCGGUUCAUACCCGGAAGGUCGUGGGUUCGAGUCCCACCCUCGC